GCACGUAGUUAGCCGGUGCUUCUUCUGCUGGUACCGUCAUGGAUCCGCGGUGUUAGCGCGGACCUUUUCGUCCCAGCCGAAAGGGCUUUACAACCCGAAGGCCUUCUUCACCCACGCGGCAUGGCUGGAUCAGGCUUGCGCCCAUUGUCCAAAAUUCCCCACUGCUGCCUCCCGUAGGAGUCUGGACCGUGUCUCAGUUCCAGUGUGGCUGGUCGUCCUCUCAGACCAGCUACGGAUCGUCGCCUUGGUGGGCCGUUACCCCACCAACUAGCUAAUCCGACAUCGGCCGCUCCAAUAGUGAGAGGUCUUGCGAUCCCCCUCUUUCUCCCGUAGGACGUAUGCGGUAUUAGCCUCUCUUUCGAGAGGUUAUCCCCCGCUACUGGGCACGUUCCGAUGUAUUACUCACCCGUUCGCCACUCUACUCGGGGGUUGCCCCCCUUUCGCGUUCGACUUGCAUGUGUAAGGCAUGCCGCCAGCGUUCAAU
rnacentral:rRNA from 1 species